rnacentral:rRNA from 1 species
CGUGAGCGACCUUGCCUCGUGGUGGGGGAUAGCCGGCCCAACGGCCGGGUAAUACCGCAUAGGGUAGUUUCUUCGCAUGGGGAGACUAGCAAAGCCCUGGAGCAAUCCAGUGGCGCCACAGGGGGGCUCGCGGCCUAUCAGCUAGUUGGGGGGGUAAUGGCCCACCAAGGCGACGACGGGUAGCUGGUCUGAGAGGAUGGCCAGCCACAUUGGGACUGAGAGACGGCCCAG